rnacentral:tRNA from 1 species
GCCUGACUGGCUCCGUUGGUAGAGCAUGUGACUCUUGAUCUUGGGGUCAUGAGUUCAAGUCCCAUGUUGGGCG